AGUCGUAACAAGGUUUCCGUAGGUGAACCUGCGGAAGGAUCAUUACCGAGUAAAAAGUCGUAUGAAAACUACAACUUUAUACACAUUUCAACCCUUGUGAACAUUCCUGUUGCUUUGGCGGGACAUCAAUUUUAGGCUUACCUUUUAUUAUUUUGGCUUUUCGUUGAAAGAAAUAAAAAGUUUGCUCAAGUUGACUUGAGAGGGCAUUUUGUCGUCUUGGGAGUGCCCGCCAGAGGUUUACAAUUUCUAAUUUAUUAUGUUGUUUUUCUUUAAAAUAAUUAAAUUUAAUAAAACUUUCAGCAACGGAUCUCUUGGCUCUCGCAUCGAUGAAGAACGCAGCGAAAUGCGAUAAGUAUUGUGAAUUGCAGAAUUCCGUGAAUCAUCGAAUCUUUGAACGCACAUUGCGCCUGCUGGAUUCUUCCAGCAAGCAUGCCUGUUUGAGCAUCAUAAAAACUCUCAAGCAUUUAAUGUUUGGUACUGACCUGUUGUUGUGUUAAUUUUAAGGCAACUGGGUUGAAAAAUAAUUUGCUCAUGCCAAAGCUUGUCUAACCUUCAGUGUAAUAGUGUAAUUUUAUUCUACUCGCUGGACUUAGAGUGUUGCUCGCUUUUGCGCUGAUGCAAAACUAUCUAUAUUUUAUAUGGAUAAUUGAACAUUGGAUCUCAAAUCAGGCAAGGUUACCCGCUGAACUUAAGCAUAUCAAUAAGCGGAGGAAAAGAAACCAACAGGGAUUCCCUUAGUAACUGCGAGUGAAGCGGGAAAAGCUCAAAUUUAAAAUCUGGCGGUUCCACCGUCCGACUUGUAAUUUCUAGAGAUAUCUUCGGCCAAGAAUCAGGUAGAAGUCCUUUGGAACAGGGCGUCAUAGAGGGUGAGAAUCCCGUAAUUGACUUGAUAAACUUGGCUAUGUGAAGUGUCUUCGAAGAGUCGAGUUGUUUGGGAAUGCAGCUCAAAAUGGGAGGUAAAUUUCUUCUAAAGCUAAAUAUUUGCGAGAGACCGAUAGCGAACAAGUAGAGUGAUCGAAAGAUGAAAGGAACUUUGAAAAGAGAGUUAAACAGUACGUGAAAUUGCUGAAAGGGAAGCGAUUGGAGUCAGACUUGCUUGCUUAAGAUCAACCCUGCUUCUGUUGGGUGCACUCUUGAGUUUAGCAGGCCAGCAUCGAUUUUGGCGGCCUUAUAAAGGUUGGAGGAAUGUAGCUUCCCCGGAAGUGUUAUAGCCUCUGGCGUAAUAUGGCCAGCUGGGAUCGAGGACAGCGGCUUUUAGCCUAGGAUGCUGGCAUAAUGGCUCUAAACGACC
rnacentral:rRNA from 1 species